CAAAAAAUAGUUUAGAAAAAGAAUAUUAAUUUUGGAGAUUAAUGGCAUAAAUGAAUUUAUUUUUUUGA
rnacentral:tRNA from 1 species